rnacentral:rRNA from 1 species
AUGUCGUGCGCGCGGCAAGCACGAUGGUCGCGGAGGCGAGGGGGUCUCGGAGGACCUGCGUGGUGGCGCAGAGGCCACGGCGGCUCGGUGCGACAACCGUGGAGGCACAGUGGCGCGUGGCGCGGAGACACGGCACGGUGGCGCACGGAGCUGAGGGCCGCUGCAGCGGCAGCGAGCGGCGGCUCGUGCGGGAGGCAGGCGGUGGCGUCGGGCGGAGGCGUACAUGGCGACAUCGACGACAAUGACAACAACAGCGUGGCGUCGGUCAGCGGUGGGAACAGGCGCGGCCGUUGCUACAAAUGUGGCCAGCGUGGCCACUUCAAGAGGGAGUGCCCCCAGCUGCAGAAGGAGCCGGCGGCGGAGCGCGGCUGCUGGCGGACGCCGGCAUUGAGGACGACGGCCUCCUCUGAGCCACGCCUUAGGGAGAGUGUGUUGGGCUAA